rnacentral:rRNA from 1 species
AAGGGUCCGCGAGGCGGAUUUAUAAGUCAGUGGUGAAAUCCUAUCGCUUAACGAUAGAACUGCCAUUGAUACUGUAAGUCUUGAAUUCGGUCGGAGUGGGCGGAAUGUGUAGUGUAGCGGUGAAAUGCAUAGAUAUUACACAGAACACCGAUAGCGAAGGCAGCUCACUAGGCCUGAAUUGACGCUCAGGGACGAAAGCGUGGGGAUCAAACAGGAUUAGAUACCCGAGU